UACGUAGGCAGCGAGCGUUGUUCGGAGUUACUGGGCGUAAAGGGUGCGUAGGCGGUUGUUUAAGUUUGGUGUGAAAUCUCCCGGCUCAACUGGGAGGGUGCGCCGAAUACUGAAUGACUAGAGUGCGGGAGAGGAGAGUGGAAUUCCUGGUGUAGCGGUGAAAUGCGUAGAUAUCGAGAGGAACACCGGUGGCGAAGGCGGCCAACUGGACGAAUACUGACGCUGAGACACGAAAGCGUGGGGAGCAAACAGG
rnacentral:rRNA from 1 species